UGGGGCUCAAACCUAAAGAACCCAAAUAUCUAAACGGAGAAAUUCAGUAUUGUAUAGCAAUAUAUAAUAUGCACUUUUCUCUUAGUAAGACGCUGUGAUUCAUUAGCAAAUGAUAUUGUCUCUGAUAAUAUCAAUGGGCUAUCAAUAGACCAAUAUGAAGUUCACAAAUGCAAAUAACAUAAUUGACAUACUAAUUGUGUAUAUUGUUUUGUGAGCAUAUUGUUAUCUGUAAUAGCUGGCUGAUGGGUUUUAAAGGCCAUAUAAUUAAUGUUUCGGCAUUACCAGUAAUUUCUGGAUGUAAUAUAUGUGCUCGAUCAACAGCGGUUUAAUUUUGGGAUACCUUUGGGACCCGUCUUGAAACACGGACCAAGGAGUCUAUCUAUUAUGCGAGUAAAUGAGUGUUAUGAAACUUAUUUGCGUAAAUAACUUAACUGUUUUUUAUGGGAUUACGAUUGAAUGCUGUAACAAGUAUCAGUCUUCCAUCCCGGGGUAUUUUCAUCAACAUAUUUAUAUGGAAAAUAUACCAUGAGCAUAGUGGAUAUGACCCGAAAGAUGGUGAACUAUGCCUGAUCAGGUUGAAGUCAGGGGAAACCCUGAUGGAGGACCGAAGCAAUUCUGACGUGCAAAUCGAUUGUCAGAAUUGGGCAUAGGGGCGAAAGACCAAUCGAACCAUC
rnacentral:rRNA from 1 species